rnacentral:rRNA from 1 species
GAUGAACGCUAGCGGCAGGCCUAACACAUGCAAGUCGAGGGGUAACAGGGAGCUUGCUCCGCUGACGACCGGCGCACUGGUGCGCACCGCGUAUGGAACCUACCUUGUACAGGGGAAUAGCCCAGGGAAACUUGGAUUAAUGCCCCGUGGUACCAUGACCCGGCAUCGGGAUAUGGUUAAAGCCUUCGGGCGGUACAAGAUGGCCAUGCGUCCCAUUAGUUUGUUGGUAAGGUAACGGCUUACCAAGACUACGAUGGGUAGGGGCCCUGAGAGGGGGAUCCCCCACACUGGUACUGAGACACGGACCAGACUCCUACGGGAGGCAGCAGUGAGGAAUAUUGGACAAUGGAGGAGACUCUGAUCCAGCCAUGCCGCGUGCAGGAAGAAUGCCCUAUGGGUAGUAAACUGCUUUUAUACGGGAAGAAAAAGAGCUACGUGUAGCUUACUGACGGUACCGUAAGAAUAAGGACCGGCUAACUCCGUGCCAGCAGCCGCGGUAAUACGGAGGGUCCGAGCGUUAUCCGGAAUUAUUGGGUUUAAAGGGUCCGUAGGCGGGCCGAUAAGUCAGGGGUGAAAGUCUGCCGCUCAACGGUAGAACUGCCUUUGAUACUGUCGGUCUUGAGUUAUAGUGAAGUUGCCGGAAUAUGUAGUGUAGCGGUGAAAUGCAUAGAUAUUACAUAGAACACCGAUUGCGAAGGCAGGUGACUAACUAUAUACUGACGCUGAUGGACGAAAGCGUGGGGAGCGAACAGGAUUAGAUACCCUGGUAGUCCACGCCGUAAACGAUGGAUACUAGCUGUCCGGAACCUUGAGUUCUGGGCGGCCAAGCGAAAGUGAUAAGUUCCCACCUGGGGAGUACGUUCGCAAGAAUGAAACUCAAAGGAAUUGACGGGGGCCCGCACAAGCGGUGGAGCAUGUGGGUUAAUUCCAUGAUACACGAGGAACCUUACCAGGGCUUAAAUGGAUAUUGACAGGUCUAAAGAUAGAUUUUCCUUCGGGCAAUUUGCAAGGUGCUGCAUGGUUGUCGUCAGCUCGUGCCGUGAGGUGUCAGGUUAAGUCCUAUAACGAGCGCAACCCCUACCGUUAGUUGCCAGCAUGUCAUGAUGGGGACUCUAACGGGACUGCCGGUGCAAACCGUGAGGAAGGUGGGGAUGACGUCAAAUCAUCACGGCCCUUACGUCCUGGGCCACACACGUGCUACAAUGGCAGGUACAGAGAGCAGCCAUGUCGCAAGGCAGAGCGAAUCUAUAAAACCUGUCACAGUUCGGAUCGGGGUCUGCAACUCGACCCCGUGAAGCUGGAAUCGCUAGUAAUCGGAUAUCAGCCAUGAUCAAACU